AGUGAACGCUGGCGGUAGGCCUAACACAUGCAAGUCGAACGGCAGCACAGGAGAGCUUGCUCUCUGGGUGGCGAGUGGCGGACGGGUGAGGAAUACAUCGGAAUCUACUCUGUCGUGGGGGAUAACGUAGGGAAACUUACGCUAAUACCGCAUACGACCUACGGGUGAAAGCAGGGGACCUUCGAGCCUUGCGCGAAUGAAUGAGCCGAUGUCGGAUUAGCUAGUUGGCGGGGUAAAGGCCCACCAAGGCGACGAUCCGUAGCUGGUCGGAGAGGAUGAUCAGCCACACUGGAACUGAGACACGGUCCAGACUCCUACGGGAGGCAGCAGUGGGGAAUAUUGGACAAUGGGCGCAAGCCUGAUCCAGCCAUACCGCGUGGGUGAAGAAGGCCUUCGGGUUGUAAAGCCCUUUUGUUGGGAAAGAAAUCCAGCUGGCUAAUACCCGGUUGGGAUGACGGUACCCAAAGAAUAAGCACCGGCUAACUUCGUGCCAGCCGCCGCAGUAA
rnacentral:rRNA from 1 species